CGAGCUUCCAGGCCGCUUUGUUUAUCUACUCAAGCCUGACCAAUGGCGGGCACCCCUCCCCCAGCCUCGCUGCCGCCUUGCAGUUUGAUCUCAGACUGCUGUGCUCGCAAUGAGUAAGGCUCAGUGGGCAUGGGACCCUCCAAGCCAUGCGUGGGAUAUGAUCUCCUGUUAUGCCGUUUGUGAAGCCUGUUGGAAAAGUGCAGUAUUAGGGUGGGAGUGACCUGAUUUUCCAGGUGCCGGCUGUCACCCCUUUCUUUGACUAGGAAAGGGAAUUCCCUGACCCUUUGUGCUUCCUGGGUGAGGCGAUGUCUCGCCCUGCUUCGGCUCAUGCACGGUGCGCUGCACCCACUGUCCUGUACCCACUGUCCGUCACUCCCCAGUGAGAUGAACCCGGUACGUCAGUUGGAAAUGCAGAAAUCACCAGUCUUCUGCGUCGCUCAUGCUGGGAGCUGUAGACUGGAGCUGUUCCUAUUCAGCCAUCUUGGCUCCACCCCGUCUUGUAGUAAAUAUCUAAAUUAUCUGUGGCAACAACUUGGUGGGGUCAACUCGAAUGUUUUUGUCGGCUGUUCUUGAAGACUUCUGGGUCUCUACAACCACAUUCUUUGGCUGGUGCCAGUGUUUAAGCACUCUGAAACUGCAUAGCAGCAUGUUUGAAGGUGGCCUGUCAAAUUUGGGAAACUGACGGUGUGACUGAGCUAGUCACAGGGGUCUUCACAGAAAAGGCAGUCGGGGUCCUGGUCAACUGGAGAUUCCAUCUGAAUGUGAAUGGAUUUAAAAGGUGACUGGAACACUUCUUUCUGACCUCAGAGAUGUGAUGGAUGUCCGGGAAGAUUUUCUCAAGGGCUAGAAGUUAAGAACUUUGUUCCUACUGUUUAUCUUUUUCCCUUUCAUAUUCAAGCCACUUAACCAUACUGAGCCUCAACUUUUUCAUUUAUAAAAUGGAAAUCAUUUUAACUUUUCUCUGGAGGACAGCUGUUGCCUGCCCAUCACUAUUUCCUCCUUUUCUGGUGACAACAUCCUACUUUCCUUCAAAGAAUAAUGCCUACCCCAUUAUAAUAACUUUUACACGGGGCUGUCCCAACACAUGCUGCCUUCAAGGCUAGGUGCAUGACACAGGCCUGGCCAAUCAGUGUGUCCAAUCCCUCUGGCCACUGUGAUUGGUCCAGUUACGGGUAUAUGAUGCAGAUCAAUCCAGUAAAACUCAACCUCGUGACUUUUACUGGAACCAUCAGUCAAGACGCCUUCUUUUUCUGUGAGUUUUCCAGGCUAGGAGAAGGAAAGUUAGAGCCCUGGGAUGCCACGUCAUGAGAAAAGCCUGCCAGAGAGCAAAACUAGCACAAAGGAAAGAAAGUAUUCCAAUAAAAGGGUGACGCUGAAAGCUGAAAUGUGAAUUUGUUAAAUCCUCAAAUAGCCAACAGCUUCUAGGACAAGAUCAUACACAGUUAGGACCUCGAUAACAAUUUGUUAGUGGAAUAGAUAAGAACAUUUUAGAUCCUGUUGCUCAAUUCUGAAAUGCUGCUCUGUGUCAUGAAUAUUGGUUUAUUUUCUUUGUAGAGUGAAGUCAUUAAGACUAGAGCUCCAGGCUUCUUCAUCCAACUCCAAGGGUUCCCAGCAACAUGUGAAGUCCUCUAUCUGUCACUAAGAAGCCGUGUGAGUGAAGCAGGCUAUAUACCUUGGUUUCAACAUCUGUGAACAAGCAAUGGAUGGAUGACUCACCUCUCAUAGGAAUGAUAGAACUUGGAUCAUCUUGUCAAUCACAGAGCUUGGUGGCCUUCUACAAAUGUUUGUGGAAUGAAUAAGUGAGAGAAUGAGAGAUUAAUAAAGCCAAUACUAUCACCAGUCCAACGAAGAGCUGCAACUGAAAAAAAAGUCUGACAAAAUGAGAAGAAUACACCUUGGCAGCUGCUGGAUCAAGGCAAAUGAGAGACCCAUGGAGCUCACUAAAUCCAACUCUACAGCUUGGAGCUAAGCCUAACUUAGCCAAGUCUAAACCAGUUUGACCUCAGCCAAUUCACAGAUGUUUGAGCCAGAAGUAAGGUGCUUGUUGCUGGAAGCCAGUUAAAUUUUGAGAUCUUUUUGAAAAAUAUAUUGUCAUUGCAGACAUAGAUGCACAUAGUUUUCCACACUGUGGGAAGUCAAAUUAAGCAUGCUUAGACUUUUAAAGCAGAAGCCCAUUAUUAGUGGGGUGGCAAAAAUGUUACAAGUGACAUAGUCCUCCAAUUUCCUUCUUCUAGCCCUCUGCCUAAGAACUAGUGUACUUCAUUUUGAAGUGGAGCCCUAACGGGAGUGUUCAUCUUCUGUCAACAGGGUUAAGCCUCUUGACGCUUACUGGGCACUCACAGUUGUUAGUUCCCUGGAAGACAUGAAAGAGCUUGAUUGGUUCUGUAGUCGUCAGUCAAUAACCAACUGUAACAUACCUACACUUCCAACAAAAUCUUGAUUUGGGAAAUUGAGUGUCUGCUUAUAGUUAAUCCUCUAUUUUUUGACACCUAGUAGGAAAAACAUUUUCAAAAGAGCCAUGACCUGACUCAGUUAAUAUGCAAGGAAAAAUAAGCAGUUCCAAACUUGUCAGUUUAUCCAUCAUCCCUUAUCCAAAAUCCUUCAACUCUCUUGGAAUUAUUUUGUUCUUCAUACUUGCCCAACAAAUAUCUUACUCUUGUCUUGGACUUUAUUUUAUAGUUAUCUCACAUAAGCUCCUUGUGGCUAAGGGCACAUAUUUGGAAUCAGACUACCCUAGUUCAACUCUUGGGUCUACCAUUUAUUAGCUUGUAUUACUUUGGGAAAGAUAAUUAAAUUCUCCAGAUCUAAUUUCCCCCAUUAUAAGAUAAUAAUAGUUAUUACCUGCUAGGAUUGUCUUGAGAAGUAAAUUAGAUAAUUCAUAAGAACCAUUUAACACAGUGCCAGCCACAUAAUGAAGGCAUAGUAAGGGAAAGUUAUUAUGCUGUUGAUAAUACUUGUCUAGGCAGGGGUCUCAUAUUUUUCCCUGUAUCCAUUACUGUACAAUUCAUCUGUCCCAUGACAUUCUAAGAUUGUUUUAGAGUGAGUUGCUUCAGAGUUGAAUAAUUCUAAUAAUAUAUUCUCAUGUUUGGAAACAACUUGGAAUUCCAUUUAGUGUAGACAUCAACAAUGAAAUCGCUAGAGGAUGAGUAAUUUCUACAAUUUUUAUUCAUUAUAGAGAGACCAAUGGGUAUAAUGGUGAAAAGAACUGAGUAGAAGGUCAGGAGGUCAAAGAGACUGAGUUUAAACCCUCACUCUGCUGAGUACUGUUAAUAAUGGUAUGAUCUUAAGAGAACUAAUCUUUAGUUUUUCCCACCUUAAAAACAGAGUUGUCAUGAGUAUUUAAUAAUAGAGGGUAGUAUGUAAACUUCCUGGCAUAUAGCAACUGCUCAACAAAUAGAAGUUAUAGUUUUUUCUUAACUUGCCAAAGAGCCAAGGGAAAAAUGAAGAUUUUGUAGCCAAAGCCAUUUAUCUUUCUCUGUUAUGUGCCUAUCUGUUCCAGAAACAGAAUCAAUUCCUUGAACCUCAUCAAAGGAAGGAUUUGAACAUUUAAAAAAAAAUCAAUCUCUUUGGGUUUGUUAUUGCUUGUUUCCCAUACCUCAGAGACACAAAUACAAACCUUUAUAAUGUCAUCAGGAAGAAGAGGAGUCAAACACUCCUUAACUCAAUAAUUGCAAUGUUAUUAUUUUGCAAGGAAUAGAGUCAAAAUUCCAUUCACAUGAGGACUGUAACUUCUUCAUUACUCCUUGAGGCACGAUGUCCUUGAUUUUAAGUAGCUCAUGUAGAAACUAGUUGUAAGUCUUUAGCGGAGAGACUGUACUGGAAUUAUAGGAUCUACUUAGGGGUUUGAGCUUCCCCACCCACUUAGAGUGACAGUUCACACCUAUAAAAACACAAAAGUCCGGGGGUUUAUUAAACAUUAGGAGAUCCAAAGAGCCAAGACUUCUACCUGUAAAAGUGGUGCUUCCUAAGCAGAAGAAAUGGAAUUUCUCAGAGAAUACAGCUUGGCUUGACCAAUGGACUGUACAAGGAAGAUUAGGAGGUAAUUACUGGGGUAAAAGAGAAAUGGUUGCAUCUUUCUGGAACACUCUAAUAAAACUGAAAGUUUUUCCUGAUUUCUUCUUUUAUUUGAUACAAGGGUCAAAUUUGAUACAUAAAGUCAUAAUGUCCCACAUGUACUUCUCAGGAACAUCUGUUUAGUCCUACUACAAAACUUGGGGAACAUGGUUUCCUAAUGUGGUACCAGUCGUCUCUUCAUGGAUGACUUCAGGAAGAAAUUCUGACUGGCAGACUCCACAAGUAUAAGACAAUAAGAGGCCAAUUUCUUUAUUCUUCUCCUCUUCUCCGCUUGUCCCCCCACCUCAUUAGCUUUGGGAGAAUAACACAGUGUGGAACAGAAAAAUAAGGAGCCUUGUUGUACUUCAUUGGCCUCAAGAGGUCUCAUCUAUUAAAUAGAUCCAUUAUGUUACUCUCAGAGAAAAUUAUAGUCAAAAAUAUUUCAAGUUUUAGGGCAGUACUGAAUAUAUAAGGGCUCUGUUACUUAAUCUCUGUGCUCUUAUCUUGGGGCGGCAAAGCUCAGUAGGGCUAUCUUGAAAGUAGCCUGAAAUCAAUUGGUCAGAUGAAAUCAAUUGGUCAGGAGGAGCCCAUCAGGAGGAUCAAGGACAUGGGUGACACAGUGAGUGUAAUUAUUAGUCAGGAUAGGUUAGGUUAGGCAUUAGUGGCAAAUUAUCUCCAAAUCUCAGUGGCUUGGUACAAUAAAGGCUUAUUGCUUAUUCAUGCAGCAUGUCUACUGCAGGUCCACAAGGGCUCUGUUCCACUCACAGAUCCAGAUUGUAACAUUCUUUGCCAUCUCAUAGCUACAUGAUCUAAACAUCAGCAGAAGGAAAGUGUCUUGGGUCAGGCUACCUGGAAAACAGAUCAAGAUAAAGAUUUCUGUGCAAAAAGGUUAUUGGGGAGGGAACUCUAAUUGAUAUCUGCCAGGGAUAGUGCAAGAAUGGUUGAGCAGACAAUUGUUGAACUACUUACUAUGUAUGUAGUAACAACAAAGGUCUUGACCAACCCAAAAGGGAGUCCUGGAGCUCAAAUGGUUCUUCACAGUUCUCUCACCUUAAGGCAAGGGACCUGGGCCUUUAUUAUCCCUUAUCAACCAGUCAUUUGAUUAGCUUGACCCCAGAGAGAGGUUAUGACCUUGAGUAAAGUGGCUCUCCUCUACUGAGGAUAAUUCCAGGAGAGCAACUCAGCUGAGAGCUGUCAGCAAUGGGAGGAAUCAGAGUCUCAGUCCUGAAGAGCAGAUCUGGGCAGCAUAUCAUAGCAUCCACCACAAGGGGGAAAGUGCGUGCACUUUUCAUUGCCUCCACCUGGGAGUGACAUAUGCCAUUUUUUGCUGUCAUUUCAAUGACCAAAAGGAGUCACAUGAUUCUAAUUGGAAGGAACCUGGG
rnacentral:lncRNA from 1 species